rnacentral:misc_RNA from 1 species
GGCUGUUGUAACCUUUAUAUAUAAACCAAUGAUUAUCAAUAAAUAAAGCAGGCAAGAUUUUUCUCAAAAAAAAUUAUGUUCUAUGAGAUUGGAAGGUUCUCUCUACAAUGAGCCUUCAAUGAGCCUUCACUUAAUUAUUCACAAUAGGUUCUUCAAGGAAGAGCAGGAACAUUAACAAAGGGAAGACGAUAGCUCUGUGCAAAGGUGAUUUCCCAGUAGCCUGACCUGUGACAAGAUCCUACUCAAGGGUCCUUAACACAAGGACCUUUAAGAAAUUCGAAGGCACCAAAAGUGAAAAAAAGAAAACGAAUAAGUGUCAUUUUUGUUCCAGUACCACAUCAUAUAUCAGUAUUACCAAGACAGUAAGGCAACAGAUAUGAGCUUUGCCUAAAUGCAAAUAUGUUUUCAAUAAUUACUAUUAUAUCUUCUUUUGGCCAGUUAUCAAUCAUUGCUAAAAUAUUUUUCAAAAAAUGGGACAUCUAAC